ensembl:ncRNA lncRNA:CR33948 long non-coding RNA:CR33948
CUCAAGAUGAAACGAGUUUUGGCUCUGCUCUGCCUGAUUUUGCUGCUGCCACUUUUCAUGGCCGAAAAUGCACCUAUUAAUUUUCCGUCAGUUAAUCGAGCAAAAGCGACAAAGGUGGCGCCUCCAAAUGCUGCAAGAGUGGGAUCACGAACCCUGGAAAGUCUGAAGGGCCUUGGAUAAAAGGACAUUAAUACUGUUGCUGUUAACAAAAAUUGAGAUUUAUAAUUAAGACUUAUGACAAACCACCGCCUCAGUUCAGUAACUUAUUAAAUUAUAAAUAAAUGCAUCAUAUAUG